CCCUUGCCCACCAACUCUUCACCGACAUCUCCCCCUCCACCUUCGCCGACACCCUCGUCAUCGCCUUCACCAUAAUGAAAUCAUGGAUUAGGUUUGGGAAGAGCCAAAGACUUUAAAAGGUGGCUGGGAAGAUGGGACCAUGUGAGGAGGACGUCAGGAGGUCAGGAAUGAGGUGAGCUACCAAGCACACCAAGGAGGUGGCAACUGGCGAGAAGGUGGCUGCAGGGAGGAGCAACCCAAAGCUUUCAUUGUGAUGAAAACAUGGAUUAGGGUUAGGAAG
rnacentral:lncRNA from 1 species